UGGGGAAUUUUGGACAAUGGGCGAAAGCCUGAUCCAGCAAUGCCGCGUGUGUGAAGAAGGCCUUCGGGUUGUAAAGCACUUUUGUCCGGAAAGAAAUCCUUGGCUCUAAUACAGUCGGGGGAUGACGGUACGGAAGAAUAAGCACCGGCUAACUACGUGCCAGCAGCCGCGGUAAUACGUAGGGUGCAAGCGUUAAUCGGAAUUACUGGGCGUAAAGCGUGCGCAGGCGGUUUGCUAAGACCGAUGUGAAAUCCCCGGGCUCAACCUGGGAACUGCAUUGGUGACUGGCAGGCUAGAGUAUGGCAGAGGGGGGUAGAAUUCCACGUGUAGCAGUGAAAUGCGUAGAGAUGUGGAGGAAUACCGAUGGCGAAGGCAGCCCCCUGGGGCCAAUACUGAUGCUCAUGCACGAAAGCGUGGGGAGCAAACAGGAUUAGAUACCCUGGUAGUCCACGCCCUAAACGAUGUCAACUAGUUGUUGGGGAUUCAUUUUCCUUAGUAACGUAGCUAACGCGUGAAGUUGACCGCCUGGGGAGUACGGUCGCAAGAUUAAAACUCAAAUGAAUUGACGGGGUC
rnacentral:rRNA from 1 species